UGUUCUGUGGCUUGGUUGGUUAAAGCGUGGGACUAGCGAUAGGGAGCCGUGGAUUCGAAUCCCGCCAAAACAA
rfam:Aedes albopictus isolate Foshan contig120347, whole genome shotgun sequence.